AUGCUCAUUUCAGCAGCACAUAUACUAAAAUUGAAAGGACACAGAGAAGAUUAGCAUGGCCCCUGCUCAAGAAUGACAUGCAAAUUUGUGAAAUAUUCCAUAUUUCU